rnacentral:rRNA from 1 species
UACGGGGGGGGCAAGCGUUUGUUCGGAAUUACUGGGCGUAAAGGGCUCGUAGGCGGCCAACUAAGUCAUACGUGAAAUCCCUCGGCUUAACCGGGGAACUGCGUCUGAUACUGGAUGGCUUGAGUUCGGGAGAGGGAUGCGGAAUUCCAGGUGUAGCGGUGAAAUGCGUAGAUAUCUGGAGGAACACCGGUGGCGAAGGCGGCAUCCUGGACCGAUACUGACGCUGAGGAGCGAAAGCGUGGGGAGCGAACAGG